ensembl:snRNA U2 U2 spliceosomal RNA
AUUAUUUCUUACAGCUACAUGUGAAUCUUCAGUUGUCUUGAAAUAGAAAGUUUACUUAAAAAUAAAAUUCUGACGUCCUCUAUCCGAGGAUAAUAUAUUAAAUGGAUUUUUGGAACUAGGAAUUGGAAUAGGAGCUUGCUCCGUCCACUCCACGCAUCGACCUGGUAUUGCAGUACUUCCAGGAACGGUGCACCUCCC